rnacentral:snRNA from 1 species
AGCUUUGCGCAGUGGCAGUAUCGUAGCCAAUGAGGUUUAUCCGAGGUACGAUUAUUGCUAAUAGAAUUUUAAAGACAAACAG